AGAGUUUGAUCAUGGCUCAGAUUGAACGCUGGCGGUAUGCUUAACACAUGCAAGUCGAACGGUAACAGGAAAAGCUUGCUUUUCGCUGACGAGUGGCGGACGGGUGCGUAAUGCGUAGGAAUCUCCCUAGUAGUGGGGGACAACUCGGAGAAAUUCGAGCUAAUACCGCAUAAGCCCUACGGGGGAAAACGGGGGAUCUUCUGACCUCGUGCUAUUAGAUGAGCCUACGUUAGAUUAGCUUGUUGGUGAGGUAAAAGCUCACCAAGGCGACGAUCUAUAGCUGGUCUGAGAGGAUGAUCAGCCACACCGGGACUGAGACACGGCCCAGACUCCUACGGGAGGCAGCAGUGGGGAAUAUUGGACAAUGGGCGAAAGCCUGAUCCAGCAAUACCGCGUGUGUGAAGAAGGCCUGAGGGUUGUAAAGCACUUUCAAUUGGGAGGAAUACCUAAUGGUUAAUAGCCAUUAGAUGACA
rnacentral:rRNA from 1 species